GGUUUAGUUAAAUGGUUCAGCGCUCAUGUGCAAUGGUGAGACGAGGGAGAAACCCAUUUGAGGAGCUUUUGUGCGCAGGGGAUCCUGAUUCUGGUGUUCCUUAUACAACCAGUAAAUACGGAAAGUGGUGGUGAAGAGAGACACAAAAAUGGAAUUCAAGUGGACCAGGGCCGGGUCUCGAUGCUCCAUGAUCUGCGGAGACAGCGACGCCCUGGAUCGACUGCAGGAGCCAACGGAGCCUUCCAUACUUUGCCUGCUUUUCACUGAUGGCGAUGGCUGUUUAAUUCAUUCUCGAACACCUUCUUUUUAACCUAAGCUUCCCCAAGCCAUAUGCCAUUAGCUGCCUCUUGGUAGACCUUUGAGUAACUUCGGUUCAUCUUCCCUACACAAAAGCAGAGGCUUUUUGCGGUAUUAAGGGAGCCGCAGAGCCCGGGCUGGGGGCGGGGGGAGGAUUUAGUUGUAAUUACAGCCGGGUUCUCGCUUAGUCCCAUCCCACCUUUCUGCCCAUUCACAGGCUCCGGCCAGGGCUGGCGCCAAGAUCUCCAAGUUGCCCUGUGUUUAUGUCAUUGAGACGAGGACAAUAUUUCAGUGUGGAGCCAAGCCACAGGGAUCCACUCUAUAAAACCCUCACUAAAAAUAGACGCUCCAACCCCUGCCCAGCCCCCUCCCCGCCUCCGCGGCUCCCCAACGCCUGCCCCUAGCGCGGCAGCACCCAGCUCCAUACACUGGGAGACAGGCGUGCCAAAUCGGCCAGAUCGCGCAGCUCGGGGGGGCCGUGAGCUCCUUUCUUCCCGAGGAGUUUUAAUGCAGAAUAAAAGGCGUCAAUUAGCAGCCUUUAGAGCUGACAGGGCAAUUAAAGCUAAAUGGCAAGACAGAGGGAGAGCUGGAAGAAGAAGGAAGAGGGAGAGGGGGAGGGAGAGAGGAGAGAGAUUUCCAAUGUGAAGGGUGAGCCUCUCAAACUACAACUGGCUGUUUGGAUAUAUUUUCACUUCUGAAGUGAUAUUUUCAGCGAACACUGAUACUCCCCGUUUAUUGCACUUUUCAUGUUAGAACUGAGCCACUUGGGAAAAUGAAAACAAACACAAAGUGAAAGGAUCUUGUCUUUACAAACUCUCCCAACCAGCCUGGGUCCCAAGAAACACGUUCCUUUGCAGGCUGAAUUAGAUGCAGCAUGAAAUUGUGAGGGUAGACGGAUGGGUGGGUGGAGCCACUGCACCAGUUAGCAGCUAAUUUGCGCUUUGGGGAUCCCAGAAUUUAGAGUUGGUGACUCUGUCAUAAUGCCUUUGCACACUUUCUGUCAUCAGCCCAGUCCCCCAAGGUUGGAAAAACUAUUGGAAAAUAGUCUUCUUUUGGUCUACUCGGCAGUGACCUUCCCGAAGGAACAGUCAGGCUUUGGUUUGGGACUUGGGAGCUCUGAGACUGUCUUAUGCAGAUAGGGGUCGGUAACAACGGUGGUAUUGAUUUUGAUUCACUGUUGCAACACACCCCUUCCAGGGAAUGGAUUCCAGGGGUGCUGUGCACAAGGAUGGGCACAAGAGAGAAAUACACCAUAAUCAGAGGAACAGUCAGCCUGGGGAAGCUAGAGCUCCAUCAAUCCUUCACAGGCAUCCUACCCUCCCCUGGCCCCCAACCCACGGAGGAAACAGUAACCGCAGUUCCUGAGAGGAUGCUCCCAAAGUCACCUUUGCUUUGCUGGACCUCACAUCUCCCAUCCUGUAACUACAAUCCUUUUCACUUCAUCCUCACUCACUCAUUAAGGACUACCAUUUCUACAACCUCUACCCUGCUCCUGGCAUUGUGUUAAGGACUUGCCAGGCACUGAGUGCGAGGUAGGUGCUAUUAUUUUACCUGUUUUAUGUAAGAAGAGACUGAGGCUGAGAGAGAUUAAGUAACUCAUUCAAGGUCAUCCUUCUGGUAAGUGGUGAAGCCGGGGUUGGAACCAGAUCUUAGUCUAAAGACUGUGCUCUUGACCCUUAUAAUGUACUCGCCUUGCACAGGACCCCCAUGAAUCUCCAGGAAAACUUAACUUGGGAUCGGUGUUCAUUUGGUUGGGGCUGAACUUUGAAACCCCUGGAAAGGGGGACUUGCUGUCUUAGGACACUGGUGAUACUGCAAGGACACAGUUCCACAUGCUUAGGAUCAGCAGUUUUGAGCUGAAGGGACAUAAGAGUGACAUUUAGUUGUUCGUGUCUGGAGCUAGUGUCCAGAGCUCCCGGAUUUCUGAGAAUCUAUUCUCAGGAGCAUAAUGAGAUUAUGUAUUUUGAGACAAUAUCUAGCUCAAGCCUUGCCAUUUUGACAGCUCAGGAAGAUGAGAGGCCAGAGAAGGUCACACAGUGAGUUAUGGUGGGUGAAGUCAGAACCAGGAUUACAACCCUGCCCAGGACUAUGUCUGCUAACAAGCAACAUUUUCAAACACUGAAUUUAUAGGUCCACUUGAACUGCUUGAUUGAAGCCCCUUAGGGGCUUUAAUAGAUAUUUGAUGAGUAAAUGUGUAAAAGCAAUUUAGGAGUGGUUACAGGUAGGCAAACACUUGAUAUACUAAUUACAGACUAGUCUUAGCUGCACUCACAAGUAUUGGUAUUUGGUCACAGUUUGGCCUCCUAAUCUCAAUUGCUUAAAUCAAGUAAAGUUGCCUUUCUGUGUAUAUCCUGAGUUCUUCUCUGUUCAUUCCACAUUCAGUAAUUUUUUAAUAGAAUGCCUAAUAUGAGCCAGGCACUGUCCUGGACUGUCAACAAAACAGACUAAUUCCCCACCCUGCUCCCUGCUAAUCUGCUUUGUAAGGCAUUGCUAUGCUGUAUUGCUAUGUAAUUGGGAUUUGCUCUGGUGAGGUUUGGAUGGUGAGAGGCCAUCCAUUUUGUUUGUUUUUUCUUAUUUUCUUCUAUUAGGCCUAAAUGAAUGGUUUUUACCUUUACAUUUUUUAAAUUAAAAAUUACAAAAUAAU